rnacentral:lncRNA from 1 species
CAUGUAUUUACUAUGGCUUUCUUGCCAGAGUAUUCGUGACUCCUCUGUUUUAUUGGAGCGCCACAUUCUCUCUAAUUUACGGGUUGUCUGUUUGAGUGUGUGAGUUUCAGAGCUAAACCACGGAGCUUUCCUCUGACGUUUAAUAGUUUUUUCCCUCAAUGGGGCAAUUGAGUCCAAGGUGGAUUUUAGUAGACUAGCAGAGCUAUCGACAAGCAGAUCCAGUUGAGAGGGGUUAUAAUUAAUAUCAUAGUCAUUUAUUGGAUGGUGCACUGAGUUUAAGGCAGCAGGAAUGGCCUCUUUAAAUUUAGCCACAGCACUGUUGGAUAGAUUUCUACUUGUAACUAUUUUAUUGCACAGUGCGAGAUCCUCUAGGAUAAUGUUAAAAGAUAUUAAAAAGUGAUCUGAUAGCAGAGGAUUUUCAGGGUAGACUUUUAGUUCAUUAAUAUCAAGGCCAUAUGUUAGAACAAGAUCAAGAGUAUGAUUUAAACGAUGAGUAGCUUCAUUAAUAGUUUGAAAAAAGCCAACUGAGUCUAUUAGGGACAUAAAGGCUGAGCUCAGGCUAUCACUAUCUUUGUCCACAUGGAUAUUAAAAUCUCCUACUAUCAGUAUUUUAUCAGAACUGAGGACUAAGUUUGAUAUAAACUCAGAGAAUUCUGAUAGAAAUUCAGAAUAAGGGCCUGGAGGACGGUAAAUUAUCGCAAAUAAGACUGGCUGGCAGGUUUUUGAUUCGAUAUGAGAUAAAUUUAGAACCAGGCUUUCAAAGGAAGUGUAACUGGCCUUUGGUUUAGGAUAGAUUAGGAGAGAGGAAUGAUAAAUAGCUGCUACACCACCUCCACGGCCUAUGUCUCGUGGCAUAUGAGUAUUUAAAUGACUGGGAGGAGUGGCUUCAUUUAAACUAACAUAUUCAUCUUGAUACAGCCAUAUUCUGUCCCUCAUAUUUUGGCACAUUUAUGUAUUUUUAGGUUCCUGAGUUCAUUUAUUUAAAAUGUGUGGUUCUCUGUUUGUCCUUGAGAGGCCACUGUUUGGUUAAUGGCUUUGCCUUUCCUGGUUUCUUCGUUGGUAUUGUUUUUUGUUUGUGGUGCUGCCGCCUGUUGGCCACUACCUGUAAGCAGCAGGCUUAUGACGCCAUUUUAAGAGCAGCACUGGAGGACUUCACAUGCAAAAACGCUCCUCUCUGUGAACUUUUCCUGAGUUAUCCGUGGCAAGACAUAAUCUUUUUACAAAAUAAUUAAGAGAUGGUCUACGGACAUAAAGACACCCUGAGUCCUGUCGUUUCUGGGGCCAUUUCUUUUAUGUUAAGCUCGCUGUCUAAGCUGAGUUAAGAAACACUUAGCUGAUGGCAGAAGAAGCCAUGUUUCAGUUAAACAGAAUAAAUCAAAGUUAUUUUCUGAGAUAAGGUCA